CCCUUUGUGACAUACCUACAACUGUUGCUUCGGCGGGUAGGCCGUCCCCUGAAAAGGACGCCUCCCGGCCCGGACCGGACCCCCCGCGGGACCGGACCCGGCGCCCGCCGGAGGAUAACCAAACUCUAUUGUAACGACGUUUCUUCUGAGUGGCAUAAGCAAAAUAAUCAAAACUUUUAACAACGGAUCUCUUGGUUCUGGCAUCGAUGAAGAACGCAGCGAAAUGCGAUAAGUAAUGUGAAUUGCAGAAUUCAGUGAAUCAUCGAAUCUUUGAACGCACAUUGCGCCCGCCAGCAUUCUGGCGGGCAUGCCUGUUCGAGCGUCAUUUCAACCCUCAAGCUCUGCUUGGUGUUGGGGCUCUACGGUCGACGUAGGCCCUCAAAGGUAGUGGCGGACCCUCCCGGAGCCUCCUUUGCGUAGUAACAUUUCGUCUCGCACUGGGAUCCGGAGGGACUCUUGCCGUAAAACCCCCCAAUUUUCCAAAGGUUGACCUCGGAUCAGGUAGGAAUACCCGCUGAACUUAAGCAUAUCAAUA
rnacentral:rRNA from 1 species